CGAGCUCGUCGGAUUUGGUGGCGGAGCUCGGGCUCUCGAUCCAGGUGAGCCCGAGCUCCGCCGCCAGAUCCGACGAACCUC
rnacentral:pre_miRNA from 1 species